rnacentral:rRNA from 1 species
GGGGGGGGGGGGGGGCGGGGCGGGGGGGGGCGGGGCGGAGGGGGGCGUCGGAGUUAGUGGCGGGGGGGUGAGUAACACGUGGGAACGUGCCUUUUGGUUCGGAAUAACUCAGGGAAACCUGUGCUAAUACCGAAUGUGCCCUUCGGGGGAAAGAUUUAUCGCCAUUAGAGCGGCCCGCGGCUGAUUAGCUAGUUGGUGAGGUACCGGCUCACCAAGGCGACGAUCAGUAGCUGGUCUGAGAGGAUGACCAGCCACACUGGGACUGAGACACGGCCCAGACUCCUACGGGAGGCAGCAGUGGGGAAUCUUGCGCAAUGGGCGAAAGCCUGACGCAGCCAUGCCGCGUGAAUGAUGAAGGUCUUAGGAUUGUAAAAUUCUUUCACCGGGGACGAUAAUGACGGUACCCGGAGAAGAAGCCCCGGCUAACUUCGUG